GACAAUAUUGGUUUAACACUUUUGUUAACCUUCGACCAUUAAACCAGAUUUGUGAUUUUUAAAUUCUGGAAAACGCUAACAAGUUUCAUUUGUCUAUUUGACUUUCAUAUUUUAUUUGCAAGAACAGAAAUAUAAGACAUUUAUUUGAAGCAAAUUUUUUGGUGUAUUCAAUGGUAGUUUGUUUGUUGUUGUUUUUUUUCCUCUUUACUUGACAAUCAAAGUCAAAUUGUUUGGCAUCUUGGAGUAAACUUAGAAUCGAAAUAUUAAUAUGCUUUUUUUUUGGUGACAUUUUCAAUAAUUUACUAAUAAUUGUAUUCCAAACAUUUUUUUAAAUUUGUCAUUAUUGACGAAAUCGUUACUCUACAUUUUUUAAGAGACUAUGCUGAUUGUGUAAUUUUUUUUCACUAAGAAUCUGUUGUCUCUGAAGUUAUCGUGCAUUUAGUGGAAUUUUGCAAUCAAAGGGAAGUUACUUUGAGAAUAUUUUAAAUUUAUAUUUUUCACCGUUUAGCUUCCCUUUGUAGUCUGUAUUAACAUUACUACGAAUUAUCCAAAGGUAACGCCUGAACAGAAAUCUCUAUACAAUUCCUAGGCAAAAUAGGAAAUCGAGAAAUUUUUCAUUUUCCCUGAACGUUUUGAGCAUUCUAUAGAAUGCCUAGACAUUUCGCACUUUGCCAGUAACAUUACAUAGAAAUUAAAUAUAGUUAUAUUAUGUUACAUUUAAAUAUCAAUAAUGAUUUAUAGAAUUAUACAUCAAAUGCAGUUCUAAGGGUCGGAGCAGAAAAAUAUGCAAAGUUAAUUGUUUAGCGGUAGAGUUGUGAGGCGCUUUGGACUGUCGUUUCGUUAGUUCUGGGUUUGAAUCCUAUCCACGCCAAGCUUAGGGUGUGUGGGGGGGGGGG